rnacentral:rRNA from 1 species
CAGUAGCCACGGUAAUACGUAGGUCCCGAGCGUUGUCCGGACUUAUUGGGCGUAAAGCGAGCGCAGGCGGUUAGAUAAGUCUGAAGUUAAAGGCUGUGGCUUAACCAUAGUACGCUUUGGAAACUGUUUAACUUGAGUGCAAGAGGGGAGAGUGGAAUUCCAUGUGUAGCGGCGAAAUGCGUAGAUACAUGGAGGAACACCGGUGGCGAAAGCGGCUCUCUGGCUUGUAACUGACGCUGAGGCUCGAAAGCGUGGGGAGCAAACAGGAUUAGAUACCCCCGUAGUCCCUGUCUCUUAUACA